GUGGAUUAGAUACCCUGGUAGUCCACGCCCUAAACGAUGUCAACUAGGUGUUGGGGAAGGAGACUUCUUUAGUACCGCAGCUAACGCGUGAAGUUGACCGCCUGGGGAGUACGGUCGCAAGAUUAAAACUCAAAGGAAUUGACGGGGACCCGCACAAGCGGUGGAUUAUGUGGAUUAAUUCGAUGCAACGCGAAAAACCUUACCUACCCUUGACAUGUCAGGAAGAUUCCAGAGAUGGGAUUGUGCCCGAAAGGGAACCUGAACACAGGUGCUGCAUGGUCGUCGACAGCU
rnacentral:rRNA from 1 species